UGGCGGGCGGCGGACGGGUGAGUAACACGUAGGAACCUGCCCAGAAGAGGGGGACAACCAAGGGAAACGUUGGCUAAUACCGCAUAAUCUCUUUUGAGUAAAGCUACUGCAAGGUAGCGCUUUUGGAGGGGCCUGCGUCCGAUUAGCUAGUUGGUGAGGUAAUAGCUUACCAAGGCGAUGAUCGGUAACUGGUCUGAGAGGACGACCAGUCACACUGGGACUGAGACACGGCCCAGACUCCUACGGGAGGCAGCAGUGGGGAAUCUUGGACAAUGGGGGCAACCCUGAUCCAGCGAUGCCGCGUGAGUGAAGAAGGCCUUCGGGUCGUAAAGCUCUUUAGGUUGGGAAGAAGUGUGGUAGAGGAAAUGCUGCCACAUUGACGGUACCGACAGAAUAAGCACCGGCAAACUCUGUGCCAGCAGCCGCGGUAAUACAGAGGGUGCAAGCGUUAAUCGGAGUUACUGGGCGUAAAGGGCGCGUAGGCGGAUAAGUGAGUGGGAUGUGAAAGCCCUGGGCUUAACCUAGGAAGCGCAUCGCAAACGACGUAUCUGGAAUACGAGAGAGGGUGGCGGAAUUUCCGGUGUAGCGGUGAAAUGCGUAGAGAUCGGAAGGAACGUCAGUGGCGAAGGCGGCCACCUGGCUUGAUACUGACGCUGAGGCGCGAAAGCGUGGGGAGCGAACAGGAUUAGAUACCCUGGUAGUCCACGCUGUAAACGAUG
rnacentral:rRNA from 1 species